AGUUCACGGAAUCUAUUCGUUUUCAUCCAUUUAUUGUCUAACCGGAACGGCACCGGUCCCCAAUGGAUUCCCUCGGCCUCCAAACAUAUGGGAAAGUGAUCAAAUGUACUACGGGGAAGUGUUUUUUGACUUACAUUGGACAAUUCCAGCAGGAAAUUGGAGAAAACAAGAAAUAUGUCAAUUCUGGACAUGCUCUUGUUGUUAGCCCAAGUCCACUGCCCUUUAGACAACGGCAAGUCAACCACUCCAAUCCUGUCUAUAACCUCCUUGAACUCAGCAGCCUCAGACACCAAAAAACAGUUACCAUUCC
rnacentral:lncRNA from 1 species